rnacentral:rRNA from 1 species
GAUGAACGCUAGCUACAGGCUUAACACAUGCAAGUCGAGGGGCAGCGGGAUUGAAGCUUGCUUCAAUUGCCGGCGACCGGCGCACGAGUGAGUAACGCGUAUCCAACCUGCCCAUCACUUGGGGAUAACCUUGCGAAAGUAAGACUAAUACCCAAUGACGUCUCUAGAAGACAUCUGAAGGAGAUUAAAGAUUUAUCGGUGAUGGAUGGGGAUGCGUCUGAUUAGCUUGUUGGCGGGGUAACGGCCCACCAAGGCGACGAUCAGUAGGGGUUCUGAGAGGAAGGUCCCCCACAUUGGAACUGAGACACGGUCCAAACUCCUACGGGAGGCAGCAGUGAGGAAUAUUGGUCAAUGGACGAGAGUCUGAACCAGCCAAGUAGCGUGCAGGAUGACGGCCCUAUGGGUUGUAAACUGCUUUUAUAAGGGAAUAAAGUGGGAGUCGUGACUCUUUUUGCAUGUACCUUAUGAAUAAGGACCGGCUAAUUCCGUGCCAG